GCGGUUUAAUUUGGAUUCAACGCCGGAAAUCUUACCGGGACCGACAGCAAUAUGAAGGCCAGGCUGAAGACUUUGCCGGAUUAGCUGAGAGGUGGUGCAUGGCCGUCGUCAGUUCGUACUGUGAAGCAUCCUGUUAAGUCAGGCAACGAGCGAGACCCACGCCCACAGUUGCCAGCGUACUCUCUGGAGUGACGGGUACACUGUGGGGACCGCCGCUGCUAAAGCGGAGGAAGGAAUGGGCAACGGUAGGUCAGUAUGCCCCGAAUAUCCCGGGCUACACGCGAGCUACAAUGGUUGGUACAAUGGGUAUCUACCCCGAAAGGGGACGGGAAUCUCCUAAAACCAAUCUUAGUUCGGAUUGAGGGCUGCAACUCGCCCUCAUGAAGCUGGAAUCCGUAGUAAUCGCGUUUCAACAGAACGCGGUGAAUACGUCCCUGCUCCUU
rnacentral:rRNA from 1 species